UGGCUGAACCAGGAUCUGCAUUUCAACAAGAUCACCACUCCAGUAUUUUUUCAGGGGAAAUUCCGUGGACAGAGGAACUUGGCAGAUUACAGUCCAUGGGGCGGCAAAGAGUCAGACACAACUUGGUGCCUAAACAACAACAACAGGUGAUGCUGGCCAUCCUGUUGUCUUUGAGACAGAUGCACUCAGGCUAAAGACAUUUACUUGGAUGUUUGAUGUUUAGUUAGUUGUAGGCCCUUAUGGAGGGUUUCCCCGCCCACUUCCUCAUCCGGGUCUUUUGGCUUGGGCCUGCUGAUGCUACUUAGGCCCACUUGGACAGUUUCCUCACCCUGCUCAGCAUCAUCUAUUGGUACUAACCGUCCUGAACAAGAUGAAAGCCAGUGUGUCCUCUAGUGAGAUGGAUGCUCUGUGAGCCUGUAGCUAGGAAAAGGCAGCAAACAAAAGUGAACACUCAGUGUUUCCUGAAGAUUUACACAGAAACCUACCCACAGAUGCAGGAAUGCUGGAUUUAUAAUAGGGGUGGCAUCACUUGUUCUUGUGUGCUAAGAUAAGGGUAAACAAAUCUCAUGCUGUGAUAUAAGUCCCUAUCUGUGGAAGCCAGGAAAGAUUCCCUGCCCUGUUGCUGAAUUGUGUGCCUGACAGGUUAUCCUCAGAGGCUUGUUUUAGGACACUUCAUCUGGAGGUCACAUCGGGCCCCGCAAGUGAAAGGUGGAAGGACAUGCCUGGGUGCAGAGGAGGGCGAAUCCUCUGUCCCUGCUCAGCUAGAAGCUCAGAAAUGGAAGCACCUGCGGCAGAGGCUAGAGUAUUUGAAAAAUCCUGGAGAGGAACUGGGUGGGGAAUCAAGUGACCCUGUGAACCUGGGCCUGAUCGAGGAAAUAUGCCAGGAAACCUGUAUUUCCACUCUUGACCUUGGUCCAGCAGUCAUACCCACCCUAGACCCACCUCUGCCUUUUAUUUUGUCAACAGCAGGUAGAUAAAUGCUCUCAAGUUUCCAGUUUUUCAUCUCACCUCCAGAGAAGGAAGCCUACACUGACCCGUAGGAACUGGCUGGCUGUCUCCACCACAUCUUCUGCCUCUAGAGGACAAAGGCAGUGUCUUGAUCAUCUCUGUAUCCCUUAUGUAUAUUGAAACAGCCUCCAGAACCAAGAAAACACAGCUCUCAUGUAAUGAAGCCAGGAUUCAAAUCCACUAAUGUAGACAUCCAACCCUGCUUUGUCCAAGCUGAUUCUAGAGACACCAUCCCAGGUCCUCUGGGAUGUGUUCCUUUGGGAAUUUCCCCGAGCCUAGGCCUGGGCCCCAUGUUCCGCUCCCCCCGCCUUUUUUUUUUUUUUUUUUUGGUUUGUCUUUUUUGGGGGGGGGGGGGGGGGGGGAGGGCAGAAAUCAGUCUUUUUUAAAACAAAUAUUAAUUUUUUAAAU